CCAGACAACCAAAGCUACCAGGAUCUCAAAGGAAAGAGAAAUGGGUCGGCGCAGUGGAAGAUCUGCAAAAGCUUCCUCCAGGAAAUAGAAUUUGAUGUGGACCAAAUUCUAACAGAUUGCAACCGUAUAAAAUCUGCACAGCAGCAAGUUCUCGGUUUUGCCAGUUGCUUUACCAUUACCGUCAUAUAAUCAACUAACUUUGUAUGUGGAUUUUGAUGUAAAGUAUGCAUGUUACUUUUAUGUGCAUUUAAUCAUGAAGUUUAAUUUUGCACAUUUAUUUGUAAUGUUUCUUUUAAAUAAAAGUGACUAAUUUUGUUGUAAAAAAAAAAAA